CCUUAGUAUAAAGAUAAUUGGCAACCAACCAACAUUGGUUUUGUCACUGGUUUAAAUUAUUUUCAUUAGUUGGCGCGCAAUAAAUUUAUCGGUGCACCAAAGCGUUUUGUUCAUUGCAUUCAAAAAUCACACUUCAUACAAACAAAAUAGUCUAUCUAAAUUGUGAAUACAAGUUAUUGAGAGAGAAAUGGUCAACAUUUCAUAUUUACUACGGCAAAACAAAAUUAGAGCAAGCAUCCAAUACUACAUAACAUAAAAAAUAUUUAGAAUAAUUUCGUACAUCGCAUAGUACAAGUAGUGAAAUAGUAAUUUUUUAAUUUAUUUCAUGAACAAAAACCAUGCUGUUGAUAUGAUUGCUUACCGUAACCAUACGCUGCAAGACCCAAAGUGGCCAUUGAAUCAAGGAAGCAGGCAGCGAGUCGUCCCAAACCUCCAUUACCGAGCCCUGCAUCCUCUUCAAGCUCUUCGAGUUCUUCAAUGUCCAAGCCAAGUUGGUACAGCGCUUCAUCUACCGUACCUUGGAUACCUAGAUUGAUCAUGGUGUUCUGGAGAGACCUUCCCAUGUAGUACUCCAGGGAUAGAUAGUAAACACGCUGGAAAUUCAAUUUGUAUUCAUUAUGUAAUAAAUUAAUGGCGCAUUAAUUUUACAGAAAAGUAACUUGAAACUACUGCAAUAUAUUCCAAUAUAAUAAAAAAGGUUCAUGUUCAUGUAUCUAAAAGAUUAUCCACAUUGGUUGGAUGAAGAGUAAAUAAAUAGUAAAUUUUA